rnacentral:tRNA from 1 species
GCAGUGCUGGGUAAGUGGUAGAAUUCUUGUCUUGCGUACAGGCAACCCAGGUUCAAUUCCUGGCCAGUGCC